rnacentral:lncRNA from 1 species
AUGAAUUUGAGCUCAAGCCCUUUGUUUUUAUUCACCUUCUUCAUUGUCUUCAACACCAACCCAGAUCAAGCAAGCAGGGCACUUGGCCUCUAUCUUGCUAAAAAACCCAACUAGUCGCUCAGCCACCCAACAAAUCCACUCUCACAUUCUCACCUCUGGCUUUCUCCUCCAUCACUCCAUUUCAACUGCCCUUCUUCUCCUCUUCAACACUUUGCUUCGUUGCUAUUCCUUUGGCCCCUUCCCUCGUGAAGCUUUCACUUUCUACAAACACCUCCAAUAUUUUUCCCUUUCCUUCGACUCCUUCACCUACUCCUUUCUUCUCCACGCCUCCAUUACCUUAAAAUCCAACAACCCAGGUAACCAAAUCCAUGCCCUCACUCACAAACUCGGUUUCCAUUUCCGUGUCUAUGUUCAGACUGCCUUGCUUAUUAUGUAUGUUGCUUGUGGCUGCUCCUUGCUCUCCACGUGUUCUACGAAAUGCCCGAUUGGAAUUCUGUCGCUUGGAAUUUCAUGAUAA